rnacentral:rRNA from 1 species
UACGAAGGAUGCAAGCGUUAUCCGGAUUUAUUGGGUUUAAAGGGAGCGUAGGCGGUCUUAUAAGUCAGUGGUGAAAUCUCGUUGCUUAACAACGACCGUGCCAUUGAUACUGUAGGACUUGAGUACAGUUGCCGUUGGCGGAAUGUGUCAUGUAGCGGUGAAAUGCAUAGAUAUGACACAGAACACCGAUUGCGAAGGCAGCUCGCUACACUAUUAUUGACGCUGAGGCACGAAAGCGUGGGGAUCAAACAGG